AUUGAACGCUGGCGGCAGGCCUAACACAUGCAAGUCGAGCGAGAGGCGGACGGGUGAGUAAUGUAGGGGAAACUGCAUGAGGGAGGGGGGUAACUACGGGAAACGGAAGCUAAUACAGCAUAACAUCAGAUGUGACCAGAUGGGAUUAGCUAGUAGGUGGGGUAACGGCUAACCUAGGCUACGAUCCCUAGCUGGACUGAGAGGAUGACCAACCACCCUGGAACUGAGACACGUGCCAGACUCCUACGGGAGGCAGCAGUGGGGAAUAUUGCACAAUGGGCGCAACCCUGAUGCAUCCAUGCCGCGUGUGUGAAGAAGGCCUUCGGGUUGUAAAGCACUUUCAGCGGGGAGGCGUUACCCGCAGAAGAAGCACCGGCUAACUCCGUGCCAGCAGCCGCGGUAAUUC
rnacentral:rRNA from 1 species